UCUCUCUCUCUAUCUCUCUCUCUCAUUCUCUCUAAAUCUCUCUCCUUCGUCUCUUUCGCUGCCUGCUACUCGCGUUCGGCUCGCGCCCGGUUCCGCGAAUCGUAUCUCGCGCGCGUCGAAACGUGCAAGUCGGUAGAACUGCGCUACCGACUUGAGUCUGUGGAACUGCGCCACUGACACGAAGCGAAGAUUCUCUCUGAGAAUCGCACGAACUCGACACACACACGAACACGACACACAUUCUUCUUUUUCUUCGCAGCUUGUAAAAUAUUCGAGAGGGGUUUUAUGCCUCACGGCUUUCCCCUCUCAAUUUGAGCGCGAUUAAAUACUCUCGAUUUUCGCUCAAUCGACUUCUUUAUUUCUCCCACACCUCACUCCUUGCGAACUCGAACACACACGUAAAAAGCGGGAAUAUUCGCCUCAGAAUAUUUCGCGCGCGACAAUUCAUAUAUUAUUAUGGCUAUUCUUUCACGACUACCGAAUUUAUAGCAGCCUGCCAGUUUCGCGACUUACACGAAAUAAGCGGCGAAUAUCGAUGUUGUUAUCGCGUUGAUAAUAAUUCUGAUUAUUGUUUAUUACAAUAACUUGCAACUUUAUUAACAUCAACAGCUGCUCGCAGUACAUAAGGACACAAUUAGCUAUGACUUGUAACAAGUGUUCGUGGUCGAGUGGUAAAGUGCCAGCCUGCUAACUGAAAGGUUCAGGGUUCAAUCCCCGCUCGGAUAUCGUUUCAAAUAACAACUCCUGGUGCACGAGCUGUCCUUGCCUACAUCCACCAGCAGAGGCUGAUAGGAAGCGGGUCCAGGAAGCUGUACCUGCAGCAUCAUCGCAGAUACUUCUUUCAUCUUUCUUUUCUUUCCCUUUUCUUAAUUAUUUACUUUCCUUUUUCAACUAUUAUAACAAUAGAUGUGAACUCUCUUCUCUUAUUUCUGAAAUAAUUUCUCUUUGUCGAGGUACCAUCAUCUUCUUGGGGAUUGCUGAACGAAGCUGCUCUUCUUCUGGAACAUCUAGCUGUCCAUGUAACUUCAAAAAAACAAGUUCAAAGUUACACCAACAAAAAAGGUUCAAAACUUAGAAGUUCAACGAAACACCAAGGCCAUCAAGGUACUCUGCACUUCUGGACUGGGAAACUGCAGCUUACAGGACAUUCGCAGUCAAUCUCUUUGUUAGCAGUUCCUUUAUAAAGGUUUGCUCAUCAACCGGAAAAUCCACGGCUGCAGUGAAAUUAACACUCACUACAACAAUUUUGGCCAAAUCAUCUCUCAGGCAUUGUAAGGGUAUUGUCAUCUCUUGAGAGCAACAUAUUUUGGUUGUAUUUGUUACAUUAAUUUAUAUCUUUAAAUUUUUCUUUUUAUUGGUUUUUUA